CCGCGACCUCAGGUCAGGCGGGACUACCCGCUGAGU
rnacentral:rRNA from 1 species